GGAGGGAUGACCGAACGGCAAGGAACCGCUCUCGAAAAGCGGCAAGGCGGCAACGCCCUCGGGGUUCGAAUCCCCGUCCCUCCGCCA
rnacentral:tRNA from 2 species